GCUGUGUGUAAGGGCCUGAGUGUGGGCGGGGAGGCUGGGAUCCUGGGCCAGGGGAUGGCCAGGGUGUCCUGCAUUUCUGACUCAACAGACAUCCAGGCCAGUGCCCCGCCUCCUGUCCCGCCUGCACCCUAUGUCCAGGGAAUAAAGCCUCAGCCAAGACCUGGACUGUUCUCAUUGGAAGGGCUCCUCCUGGACACGCUGGUGGCUGAGGGGGCAGGAGCCUGAAGAACGUUUGGGAGGGGUUAGAGGCCUUCCUUAGAUAGCCUUUCUCGGCUAUGAUGGAGCAGUGCCUAGAAUGGCUAUUCAACUUCCUUCUCCUCCACUGGGAGCUCCCCCUGGCCCUGAGAUGGGUCUAGUCCGUUUCUCCCACCCCGUGGCUGCUUCCCCCACUGGGGCCCUGUAAUCACCACCCAGUGACUGACUCAGCCCUUCCUUCCCCUCCCAGCCCCUUCUUCCUGGAAACCAUCCACAUCAGCCCCAGCCCCCGUGGGCCCAGAGGGAGAGAAUUGGAAGCCACCUUCUCCAAGGGAAGCCUUCCGAACCCCCGGUUGAUGUCAAGUCCCCAUGUGGCACCCUCAGAGAAACCCUGGGCCACUGUCGCGUCCGCGCCACCGUCAACUGAUUCACGCGCACCCCCCGCUGGACAGUAGCCUCCAGCAUCUCCCCAGAGUGCCUGCAACAUAGAUUCCCCACAUGAGGCACAAGAUUUCCAACGGGAGAGGAGCAUGGACGGGACGAUUGAUUCUCCGAGCCCUCCUGCCCCUGACUCCUAGCCCUUCCACUCCCACCCGCAGAGGUCAGGGAGGCAAUGUUCUUCGUUCUACCGGGAAAAAGAGAGAGCGGAAGAAGAUUUAAACUCAGAAGUUCUCCUCAGAAUUUACUUUUACUUCUCCAAAAGUUGUUUCCGUGUCUGAUAUCAAGUAGAAAAAUCAAAAAGCCUUCUUGCGUUUUCGGAGCACGCCGCGUCCACGGCCGGUUCUCUCUGGACUCUGCGUGCACUUGAAGAAACAGCAGCUUUCCUCCCAAGAAGUUCAACUCAGAGUCAGGGUCCAGCUGCACGAGGCCUUGCCCGCCGGGCCUGGACCCCGCAGCCUCUUCUCCAGCUCGCUCGCUGCCUGCUUCCUCUACCUUUCCGCGCCUGGGCUCUCGUGGGAAGGCCGCUCCUGGGCUCACGUGUCCGCGAGGCCGCAUGACGGGGGAUGAUGGAGCACCGGGGCCUCAGAUCCUGACCACCUGGGCGGCCGCACACGGACUCCGCCUCCCCUCCCCGUCCUCAGCCCGCUGCCUCCUGAGGAGGAGUCGGCCGAAGGUGCCCCCCACCUGCCCUUUGGUGAGGCGCCCGGGGUUCACACAGACACAGCCGAGGACAUCCUGGGAAAAGGAGAGGGGCCGACGUGAGAAAGUUGGAAUCAUCUAACCGUCAGACCCCAGCGAGGGGUUUAUAAAAUGGAAAGGAAGGCCGAACCCA